rnacentral:rRNA from 1 species
GAUGAACGCUGGCGGCGUGCCUAAUACAUGCAAGUCGAGCGAACAGACGAGGAGCUUGCUCCUCUGACGUUAGCGGCGGACGGGUGAGUAACACGUGGAUAACCUACCUAUAAGACUGGGAUAACUUCGGGAAACCGGAGCUAAUACCGGAUAAUAUAUUGAACCGCAUGGUUCAAUAGUGAAAGACGGUUUUGCUGUCACUUAUAGAUGGAUCCGCGCCGCAUUAGCUAGUUGGUAAGGUAACGGCUUACCAAGGCAACGAUGCGUAGCCGACCUGAGAGGGUGAUCGGCCACAUUGGAACUGAGACACGGUCCAGACUCCUACGGGAGGCAGCAGUAGGGAAUCUUCCGCAAUGGGCGAAAGCCUGACGGAGCAACGCCGCGUGAGUGAUGAAGGUCUUCGGAUCGUAAAACUCUGUUAUUAGGGAAGAACAAAUGUGUAAGUAACUAUGCACGUCUUGACGGUACCUAAUCAGAAAGCCACGGCUAACUACGU